UACGUAGGGUGCAAGCGUUUAAUCGGAAUUACUGGGCGUAAAGCGUGCGCAGGCGGUUUUGUAAGUCUGUCGUGAAAUCCCCGGGCUCAACCUGGGAAUGGCGAUGGAGACUGCAAGGCUAGAAUCUGGCAGAGGGGGGUAGAAUUCCACGUGUAGCAGUGAAAUGCGUAGAGAUGUGGAGGAACACCGAUGGCGAAGGCAGCCCCCCUGGGUCAAGAUUGACGCUCAUGCACGAAAGCGUGGGGAGCAAACAGG
rnacentral:rRNA from 1 species